GGUGAGUUGUCUGAGUUGGGUUAAGGUACGCCCCUGCUAAGGGCGUGGGUGUAACAGCCCCGAGAGUUCGAGUCUCUCACUCACCGCCA
rnacentral:tRNA from 1 species